rnacentral:lncRNA from 1 species
UUUUGAGCUCUCGGGGACCGGUCCCUAAAGGAGAGACCGGUCCCCGUACGCGUGGCCUGCCAGGAAAUCCUGAGGCAUCCGGUCCCUGGUGGUGAGACCGGUCCUCGGGAGACCGGUCCCUGGGGGAGAGACCGGUCCCUCGUUGCGGAGCAGCCGAAAAAGCCAGAAAAUCGGCUAAAUCCUGGAAAACCCCCGUUCGGGAACCGGUCCCUGGUCGGGGAGACCGGUCCCCGAAAGCGAAAAAUGCCCAGUCUGGGCAGAUCAAUGGGAAACAAGUGGAGGGGCUUAUAUGCAAUUGUCACAACACUAUAUAUGGCCCAACCCCUCUCUCCCACAGCCAUUUCUCUCCUCCUCUCUCAUUUUCUCUCUUUCUCUCUCUAGAACUCCCUUAGAGCUUGGAGAAGAAGAAGAAGAACUGGGAGAAGAAGGUGGUUUUGGUGCUUUGGAGGUUCUAGGAGCUUUCCCACAAGAAGAACCUUGGUGGAGCUUGG